UUGGCAGGGGGCAGCCAUGAGGGAAGGGCAGUUUUUAGGUUAGGAGAUGAGGCCAGAAGGUUCCGGGGAGCUGGCAGGGGGCGGCCAUGAGGGAAGGGCAGUUGUUAGGAGAUGAGGCCGGAAGGUUCCGGGGAGUUGGCAGGGGGCAGCCACCCAUGCUGCUGCCAUAUAGCCCCUCAAUGUAGGGUAAUGACUCAGAGCAUCAGUUUCUCCCCCAAAAGGGGGAUUUUAUCUCCUUCAUUCAUUAGAGAGGAAGAGGGGUGAUUUGUGAGGAGACUCUGUCGCUGUUUGAUAAUCAGCAAGGCGAAUCCAGGAGGAUUUUCAAGUCAGUAUUUCACCAUGGAGACAAACCCAGCGAAUGCAGAGGAUCCAAGUUGUCCUUUGUUAAUUUACUUAGUGGCAGGAUCUUCCCAAUUCACUCCAGGGAACAGGCCCCAGGAAGACCGAGGGCUCAUUGAGGACUGCAAGGUCGCACCAGCCAACCUAUCUGAGAGGGGUUUUGCAGGAACAGGGGAGAGCUGUUGGCAUUCCCCUGGCCGCUAAGUGGCGUGAUUUCUCCAUAAUUCACAGCAGCCAGGGGUUUGUUUGCUAGGAGAAAACCCAGCUGUAAAGAAGCAUCAGAAGAAGAGGGUUUUUUUACCCAUGAAAGCUUAUGCCCAAAGAAAUCUGUUAGUCUUUAAGGUGCCACCAGACUCCUCGUUGUUUCAGCUGUAAAGGGUUUAACUGUCCCAUUGCUGGUGUGUCCCCACCUCCCUUAUCCAGGGCACAGGUGUUUACACUGCUCUGGGCUCUGCUCACCACACUCAGAACACUUCAACAACCCACAAAGCUUCAACCCUGGUAAUUUCUUGGAUGAGAAAACGGCAGUAAGAAGGAUGAUGCCUUUUGCAACUUUCCUCAGGGAGAAGAUAAUCUAAUACUAGAGGGUUCUUUAAUCUACCAGACCAAGCCAGAACAAGACACAAAAGCUGGAAGUUGAAGUUGGCCAAGUUUCAGAUUGGAAAUAAGGUUUUUGAUAGAGGAAGGAAAAUCGCAACAGGAAUCAAGGCAGCUAUCUGGAGUGGGGCCGGACCGAGCCCCCGGGCCAGCGGCGAGCACUGCAGGUUUAGAUAAACCUCCUGGUUUCCAGUUUCCACAUCCACUUCCCCAGAUUGCCCGGUGCAGCAUGACACAGGGCAACACUGGAACGACCCAGUCAUCCUAGUGCAAAACAAAACGACUUGGAAAUCCACAGGCUGGGGAAGCAAAUAGCGAUCGUAUUAAUAGGACCAAAAAAUAAAUAACCGAAGUCAAGAGGCAGGAAAUUCCUUCCUGCUAAGACAACAGCUUCACGGCUGGGGAAUGCAACGGAGCCGUUGGUGGGUUUUUUCCAUCUGACACAAACCAGCGGGUCCGGCCAAGAUUUCAGCCCUUCGCGGACCC